AUUGAACGCUGGCGGCAGGCCUAACACAUGCAAGUCGAGCGAGCGGCGGACGGGUGAGUAAUGUCUGGGAAUCUGCCCGAUAGAGGGGGAUAACUACUGGAAACGGUAGCUAAUACCGCAUACUAUCGGAUGUGCCCAGAUGGGAUUAGCUAGUAGGUGGGGUAAAGGCUCACCUAGGCGACGAUCCCUAGCUGGUCUGAGAGGAUGACCAGCCACACUGGGACUGAGACACGGUCCAGACGCCUACGGGAGGCAGCAGUGGGGAAUAUUGCACAAGGGGCGCAAGCCUGAUGCAGCCAUGCCGCGUGUAUGAAGAAGGCCUUCGGGUUGUAAAGCACUUUCAGCGAGGAGGCGUUACUCGCAGAAGAAGCACCGGCUAACUCCGUGCCAGCAGCCGCGGUAAUAC
rnacentral:rRNA from 1 species